CCUACGGGGGGCAGCAGUGAGGAAUAUUGGUCAAUGGACGAGAGUCUGAACCAGCCAAGUAGCGUGAAGGAUGACUGUCCUAUGGGUUGUAAACUUCUUUUAUAUGGGAAUAAAAUGUUCCACGUGUGGGAUUUUGUAUGUACCAUAUGAAUAAGGAUCGGCUAACUCCGUGCCAGCAGCCGCGGUAAUACGGAGGAUCCGAGCGUUAUCCGGAUUUAUUGGGUUUAAAGGGAGCGUAGGUGGAUUGUUAAGUCAGUUGUGAAAGUUUGCGGCUCAACCGUAAAAUUGCAGUUGAAACUGGCAGUCUUGAGUACAGUAGAGGUGGGCGGAAUUCGUGGUGUAGCGGUGAAAUGCUUAGAUAUCACGAAGAACUCCGAUUGCGAAGGCAGUUCACUGGACUGCAACUGACACUGAGGCUCGAAAGUGUGGGUAUCAAACAGGAUUAGAUACCCCUGUAGUC
rnacentral:rRNA from 1 species